CCUACGGGCGGCAGCAGUGAGGAAUAUUGGUCAAUGGACGAGAGUCUGAACCAGCCAAGUAGCGUGAAGGAUGACUGCCCUAUGGGUUGUAAACUUCUUUUAUAUGGGAAUAAAAUGUUCCACGUGUGGGAUUUUGUAUGUACCAUAUGACUAAGGAUCGGCUAACUCCGUGCCAGCAGCCGCGGUAAUACGGAGGAUCCGAGCGUUAUCCGGAUUUAUUGGGUUUAAAGGGAGCGUAGGUGGAUUGUUAAGUCAGUUGUGAAAGUUUGCGGCUCAACCGUAAAAUUGCAGUUGAAACUGGCAGUCUUGAGUACAGUAGAGGUGGGCGGAAUUCGUGGUGUAGCGGUGAAAUGCUUAGAUAUCACGAAGAACUCCGAUUGCGAAGGCAGUUCACUGGACUGCAACUGACACUGAGGCUCGAAAGUGUGGGUAUCAAACAGGAUUAGAUACCCCAGUAGUC
rnacentral:rRNA from 1 species